GAACCAGGGCUCUUUCCUACACUCCUCUUCACAUUCCCGACUUACACGCAGAGGGAAAGAGAAUUCAUAAAGGGAAUAUUUUUCUGCCUUUGAAGAUAUUCUCACAAGAUCGUUCUCCACGCCCAAGGUGUGGAAACAGGAAGAGAACUAGAACUGGAAGUAAAGCAUUGAAGAUGUGACUGAAUUGCUGCAAUCUCAUGAUCAAAUUUGAAUGGAUGAGGAGUUGCUUUUUAGGGAUGAGCAAAGAAAGUGGUUUCUCGAGAUGGAAUCUACUGGUGAAGUUGCUGUGAACAUUGUUAAAAUGCCAAUAAAGGAUUUAGGAAUUACAGAAACCUGGUUGAUAAAGCAGUGCCAGGGUGUGAGAGAGUUGACUUCAAUUUUGAAAUAAGUUCCACUGGCUGGGUGUGGUGGCUCACACCUGCAAUCCCAGUACUUUAGGAGGCCGAGACUGGUAGAUCAUUUGAGGUCAGGAGUUCAAGACCAGCCUUGCCAACAUGGUGAAACCCCACCUCUACCAAAUUAGCCAGGUGUGGUGCACACCUGUAGUCCCAGCUACUUGGGAAGCUGAGGCAGGAGAAUCUCUUGAACCAGGGAGGAGGAGGUUGCAGUAAGCCGAGAUGGCGCCCCUGCACUCCAGCCUGGGUGACAGAGUGAGACCUUGCGUUUAAAAAAAAAAAAAAAGGAAAAGGAAAAAAAAGUUCUACUGUGGGUAAAAUGCUAUCAUGCUAUCAAACAGCAUCACAUGCUACAGAGAAGUCUUGUGAAAGGAUGUCAGUGUGGCAAACUUCAUUGUCUUUUAAGAAAUUGCCACAGCUAUCGUAAUCUUCAACCACCACCACCCUGAUGAGUCAGUAGCCAUCGUUAACGUUGGCGUAAGACCCUCCACCAGCAAAAAGAUUGUUAGCAUUUUUUUAGCAGUGAUGUAUUUAUCAAUUAUACAUAAUGCUAUUGUACACUUCUUAAUAGACUAUGGUAUAGUGUAACCAUAAUUUAUGCACUGGGAAACCAACAAAUUCAUGAGAUUCGCUUUAUUGUAGUGCUCUGGAAUUGAGCCUGCCGUGUUUCUGAGGUAUACCUGUGUAUUUAGUAUGUUCCUUGUAUAUAAAACCCCAUUUUAUAGGGUAGGAAACUAAGGCUUAGAGUUUGAGCAAUUUUCCCAUAGAUAACACCAAUAAAUUGAGGGCUGCAGAGACCACUUAAGUGGUUCUCUUAACAGUAGUCUAGACAUGACGUAAUGAGAUUUGGCUUAGGAGUGACAAUGGUAAGGAAGUUAAAGGAUUCAGGAACCAAAUACCAGUUAUUGAGAAGAAAGAAUGGCCUCAAAACAUCACUUCUCAAGGAAGCCUUGAUACCCUCACCCUUACUACACUGUAUCCUCCAUUUGAAUGUUGUCAAGAGCUCUUCUCACAAUUGUAAAUAAUAAUUGUGUAAUUUUGUUUUUUUUUUCCUACUUUAGGUUGCUCCUUGAGGGCAGGACAGUUCUUAUGGCUUUAUCCGUUGCGUAAGCACAGAGAGGUCUGCGAGGUCAAAACUAUUGUCAUGAUAGCAAGAUGCCUGUCUUUUUCAUUUAUUCUCACGGUGUGCAGAGGCUACAUGAUGUGUGAUGACAUCCUCAUUGAUGUUAAUGAAUGGUGCUAUACUUGAAUUUUCUAAGGUGUCAUUAGGUAGGUUUAGGUAUGCAUACUUGUUUUUAGAAAUUAUUUUUUUCCUUUUUCCCAUUUUUAGAAAUCAACUCAUUUUUUAGGUUAUGCCUUCAGUAAUCUUUGCAACCUCAAUAUUGUGUAAUGGUUACUUUAAAAUACUGUAGUUUUCUUUGUGCCUAAGUAUAAACAUAAGUACAUUUUGUUGUUUUGUUUGCAAUAGUGGUUUAAAUAUUUUCCCAAAAUAUCCAAAUUUAAAAAUUCUACAACUUUAGAAUUUAAUAAAUUUAUUCUAAAAUAUUUAUAUAUUUUUUCAUUUAAGAAUGGAUCGGCUUAAAAAGACUGCUUCUCAUUUACUUACUGGCUAUACCAUCUGUAUACUAAUAAAAAACAAGAUUUGAUUUGGAAGGACUGACUCAAACUAACGAAAAUAUGAAACCUGUCUUUCUGCUUUGGAGAUAUUUACCUAAUCAUGUUCUGCAGUAGAAUAAUUUAGUUCUUUUGUCUUUUUUUGGAGAUGAGGUCUUGCUGUGUUGCCCAGGCUAUUCACAGCUGCCAUCAUAGUGAACUACAGCCUGAAACUCCUGGGUUCAAGAGAUCCUUCUGCCUCAGCCUCCUGAGUAGCUGGAACUAUAGGCAUGCGCCACCAAGCCUGGGCUUUUAAAAAAAUUUUAAAAAGAAUUUUGAGACAGGAUCUUGCCAUGUUGCUCAGGCUAGUCUUCAACUCCUAGCCCUGAGUGAUCUUGCUUUGGGCCUCUCAAAAUGUUGAGUUAAUAGGCGUGAGCCACCAUACCCAGCCAAAAAUUUUUUUAGAGAUGGGAAUGGAAUGAUCUUGAAUAGUGUUGGUGCCACCUAUGUUGUGGCAUCAUUUUGAAACCAAUCAUUCAGAGUGCUUUUUUUGGUAAGGCAUUAUUUUUUAAUGCAGGUAUGCCACUACUGGGAAAAAAAAAAAAACAGGUUUUAAAGCUAGAAAUGAAAAGCUACUUAAGUAUCUUAAAGGAUAAGUUACUUUAUUAUACACUAGAAACAUACACAAUAGCUGAAAAACUUAAAAAAUCUCACACUGCUGAAUGUCUCUGCUGGCUGAAGUGUAAGUAAAAGAUCAUAGUAGUGCCGCUGUUGAGUGAUAAAGCAACUUGUCAUUAAAGAUGUGUGUGCAGACAUGGAUUCUGAGUUAAUAUCUCAUCUGUAGAAGUAUAUAUUUGUCCCUUGCUUUGGGAUUGGUUUCUGGACAGCACUCCCCCACCCUUGCUGGCCAUUUGCCAAGGACACCAAAACCCAAGGAUGUUGAAUUCCCUUUUAUAAAAUGGCGCUGUAUCUGCAUACAACUUACACACAUCCUCCCAUAUACUUUAAAUCAUUUCCAGAUUUCUUAUACUUCAUACAAUGUGAAUGCUAUAUAAAUAGUUGUUACAUUGUGUACUUAUAUUUGUACUAUUGUAUUAAAUAUUCUCAAAUAUUUUCAAGCACAUUUGGUUGAAUCUGCAGAUGCAGAACCUGAGGAUAUGGAGGGCUGACUGUGCUAAUACGUUAUCAAUGGAUGCGUGCAUAAACAUGGCUGGACUUGUUACUUGGCUUGUAUUUGCCAGGCAUCAGCACCAACUAGUUAAAGAUACUCUUACGUGAAAGCUUGGCAACAAACACAUGUCCUGAAAUAAUGCAAGUGUAGAAUAACUUUUUAAAAUCUCAUGGUUUAUGCUAAACUAUAUGUUGACAUAAGAGUGGUGAUAAGGCAACAGUAGGUAAAAGUAAAAUUUCAGGCACCUUGGCACAAACUGUGGCAGUGGCAUCAAACUCUAAGUUAUUUUUCACUGCCAUGCAUUUGUGGUGUGAACCCCCACAAAAGAAAAAAACCAGUUUCACUCAAGAAUGUCCUUGUGAAAGCAGUGACAUUUUGUUAAAUCUUAAACCCUACAGUACAUAACUUUUUGAAAUGGUUGUCUCAAGAAAAAGCACUCAUGUAAGCUGAAUUAUCUGCUAUUUCCUUGGAGCCUAACAACUGACAGCAAUUGUUUUCAAUGAUAAAAUCCAAACGUUGAGUCAAAAUCAGAAUUUCGGGAAAACUUGUGUCUAAUAUCAGGAACUUGACAGCUUCCCAAUACUUCAUGAGAUAGUGAUAUUGAAAAUAAUUUUUUUUUUUUUUUGGGACAUCUGGCUGACUGCAACCUCUGUCUCCUGGGUUCAAGCAAUUCUCCUGCCUCAGCCUCCUGCAUAACUGGGACUACAGGUGUGUACCACUGUACCCGGCUAAUUUUUGUAUUUUUAGUAGAGAUGGGGUUUCACCAUGUUGGCCAGGGUGGUCUUGAACUCCUGACCUCAGGUGAUCCACCUUGGCCUCCCAAAGUGCUAGGAUUACAGGUUUAAGCCACUGUGCCCGGCCAAUGAUAUUUUAGGUAGUAUACAGUAAAAUGGGCCAACAUUUGGGAGAUUGACAUAACUCAGUGAAGCUAUAUUUUCCUAAUGACUAAUACGUGAGAUUAUAGAAAACUGCUAGUAACAUUGUAACCAAUUGAAUGCAAAAGAAACAAUUCAGUUGUCUUCUAUUUAAGUCAGACAUUUAGGGAAACAAUUGCCAAAAUGUAAAACAAUGCACCUAUUUUUUUAAAAAUAUGCAUUUGUUGCUAUAAUAUUUAAAUAUUUUACUUUCUAAUAUGGUAAGAUACUAGUAAAGUGAUUUGGGGCCCUCAAUCUUUAAGAAUGUGAAGGGAUUCUCUGAGGCCACAAAGUUUAAGAAAUGGCUACUCUAGCACAAACGCACAUAGUAAAUACUCAAGUACCUGUUGAAUGACUUCAUGGAGUUAAAGUGACUCCUGGUAUUAAAUCUGUAUGGCUGGGAUAAUGGGCAUGCUAGGACAGGAAGCAGAUUUCCUUAACUUCACCACUGUAACUCAUUAACAAACAUGUUAGCCUGAGACAGAAGUAUUAAGGGGCGACAGGAAAGCCUUUCAUAAGCAAUGUGAUGCUUUUUUUCACAUUAUUCAACAUGGUUUAAAAUUUGGUA
rnacentral:lncRNA from 1 species